rnacentral:rRNA from 1 species
GGACGAACGCUGGCGGCGUGCCUAAUACAUGCAAGUCGAGCGGAGAAAUGGGAGCUUGCUCCCAUUUCUCAGCGGCGGACGGGUGAGUAACACGUGGGCAACCUGCCCUACAGACUGGGAUAACUCCGGGAAACCGGAGCUAAUACCGGGUAAUACAUAGCAUCGCAUGAUGCAACGUUGAAAGUUGGCCUUUGGCUAACACUGUAGGAUGGGCCCGCGGCGCAUUAGCUAGUUGGUAAGGUAACGGCUUACCAAGGCCACGAUGCGUAGCCGACCUGAGAGGGUGAUCGGCCACACUGGGACUGAGACACGGCCCAGACUCCUACGGGAGGCAGCAGUAGGGAAUCUUCCGCAAUGGACGAAAGUCUGACGGAGCAACGCCGCGUGAGUGACGAAGGCCUUCGGGUCGUAAAGCUCUGUUGUUAGGGAAGAACAAGUACCGUUCGAAUAGGGCGGUACCUUGACGGUACCUAACCAGAAAGCCACGGCUAACUACGUGCCAGCAGCCGCGGUAAUACGUAGGUGGCAAGCGUUGUCCGGAAUUAUUGGGCGUAAAGCGCGCGCAGGCGGUCUCUUAAGUCUGAUGUGAAAGCCCACGGCUCAACCGUGGAGGGCCAUUGGAAACUGGGGGACUUGAGUGCAGAAGAGGAGAGUGGAAUUCCACGUGUAGCGGUGAAAUGCGUAGAUAUGUGGAGGAACACCAGUGGCGAAGGCGGCUCUCUGGUCUGUAACUGACGCUGAGGCGCGAAAGCGUGGGGAGCGAACAGGAUUAGAUACCCUGGUAGUCCACGCCGUAAACGAUGAGUGCUAGGUGUUGGGGGGUUCCACCCUCAGUGCUGAAGUUAACACAUUAAGCACUCCG